UGCGGUGAUGAUGCCUGAACGGAACCACCUGUUCCCAUUCCGAACACAGCAGUUAAGCGUUCAGAGGCCGAGGGUACUUCGCUGGAGACGGCGCGGGAGACUAGGUAGUUGCCGCUC
rfam:Selenomonas noxia ATCC 43541 genomic scaffold SCAFFOLD2, whole genome shotgun sequence.